UCCUGCAUUAAGAUGUCCGUGGU
rnacentral:piRNA from 1 species